UACGGAGGAUCCGAGCGUUAUCCGGAUUUAUUGGGUUUAAAGGGUGCGUAGGCGGCCUUGUAAGUCAGGGGUGAAAGACGGUAGCUCAACUUAUCGCAGUGCCUUUGAUACUGCAGGGCUUGAAUGUACUUGAGGUAGGCGGAAUGUGACAAGUAGCGGUGAAAUGCAUAGAUAUGUCACAGAACACCAAUUGCGAAGGCAGCUUACUAAAGUAUGAUUGACGCUGAGGCACGAAAGCGUGGGGAUCAAACAGG
rnacentral:rRNA from 1 species